UACGUAGGUCCCGAGCGUUGUCCGGAUUUAUUGGGCGUAAAGCGAGCGCAGGUGGUUUAUUAAGUCUGGUGUAAAAGGCAGUGGCUCAACCAUUGUAUGCAUUGGAAACUGGUAGACUUGAGUGCAGGAGAGGAGAGUGGAAUUCCAUGUGUAGCGGUGAAAUGCGUAGAUCUAUGGAGGAACACCGGUGGCGAAAGCGGCUCUCUGGCCUGUAACUGACACUGAGGCUCGAAAGCGUGGGGAGCAAACAGG
rnacentral:rRNA from 1 species